rnacentral:rRNA from 1 species
AUGAACGCUAGCUACAGGCUUAACACAUGCAAGUCGAGGGGCAGCAUGGUCUUAGCUUGCUAAGGCCGAUGGCGACCGGCGCACGGGUGAGUAACGCGUAUCCAACCUGCCUUACACUCUUGGACAGCCUUCUGAAAGGGAGAUUAAUACAAGAUGUUAUCAUGAGUAAGCAUUUUCGCAUGAUUAAAGGUUUACCGGUGUAAGAUGGGGAUGCGUUCCAUUAGAUAGUAGGCGGGGUAACGGCCCACCUAGUCUUCGAUGGAUAGGGGUUCUGAGAGGAAGGUCCCCCACAUUGGAACUGAGACACGGUCCAAACUCCUACGGGAGGCAGCAGUGAGGAAUAUUGGUCAAUGGACGAGAGUCUGAACCAGCCAAGUAGCGUGAAGGAUGAAGGUUCUAUGGAUUGUAAACUUCUUUUAUACGGGAAUAAACGAAUCCACGUGUGGAUUUUUGCAUGUACCGUAUGAAUAAGGAUCGGCUAACUCCGUGCCAGCAGCCGCGGUAAUACGGAGGAUCCGAGCGUUAUCCGGAUUUAUUGGGUUUAAAGGGAGCGUAGAUGGGUUGUUAAGUCAGUUGUGAAAGUUUGCGGCUCAACCGUAAAAUUGCAAUUGAUACUGGCAGUCUUGAGUACAGUUGAGGUAGGCGGAAUUCGUGGUGUAGCGGUGAAAUGCUUAGAUAUCACGAAGAACUCCGAUUGCGAAGGCAGCUUACUAACCUGUAACUGACAUUGAUGCUCGAAAGUGUGGGUAUCAAACAGGAUUAGAUACCCUGGUAGUCCACACGGUAAACGAUGAAUACUCGCUGUAGGCGAUAUACAGUCUGCGGCCAAGCGAAAGCAUUAAGUAUUCCACCUGGGGAGUACGCCGGCAACGGUGAAACUCAAAGGAAUUGACGGGGGCCCGCACAAGCGGAGGAACAUGUGGUUUAAUUCGAUGAUACGCGAGGAACCUUACCCGGGCUUGAACUGUAGGCGAACGAUUCAGAGAUGAUGAGGCCCUUCGGGGCGCCUAUGGAGGUGCUGCAUGGUUGUCGUCAGCUCGUGCCGUGAGGUGUCGGCUUAAGUGCCAUAACGAGCGCAACCCUUGCCGAUAGUUACUAACAGGUUAUGCUGAGGACUCUGUCGGGACUGCCAUCGUAAGAUGUGAGGAAGGUGGGGAUGACGUCAAAUCAGCACGGCCCUUACGUCCGGGGCUACACACGUGUUACAAUGGGGGGUACAGAGGGCUGCUACCACGCAAGUGGAUGCCAAUCCCAAAAACCUCUCUCAGUUCGGAUUGAAGUCUGCAACCCGACUUCAUGAAGCUGGAUUCGCUAGUAAUCGCGCAUCAGCCACGGCGCGGUGAAUACGUUCCCGGGCCUUGUACACACCGCCCGUCAAGCCAUGGGAGCCGGGGGUACCUGAAGUGCGUAACCGCAAGGAGCGCCCUAGGGUAAAACUGGUGACUGGGGCU